GUUUCUGUGUUAGGUACGAAGUAGCUCGCCUAAAAGGAGAGGUACGAAGUAAGUCUCGAACGAAUGUGUUAGGAUUCAGGAUUUUCCUGUGUACACUAACGCAUACCAUUCAACAUUGUUAUCGUGGUCUACCAAAUGCAUCUCGAAGAAGUUUCCUCCAGGACCUAAGAAGAUCUCAGAAAGUGUCCUAUAAACAAACUAUAUACCGCAGUUAGAUAAGAUAAUAAUAUUUCCUACAACAAUUUAUAUGGUUCUUAUUUGUCGCAAGCUAUGAAGCUCAUAAAGUGUAGUGAAGAUCCAAGCAUAAGCGAGGUUUAGAAGAUAGACUAGCCAGCCAUGAAUGAGGCUUAGGAGUGAAUUGACGG
rnacentral:lncRNA from 1 species